AAGACACUGAGCCAGAGAGGCUGUGGCUCUAAGCACCACUUGAGAGGACAAGGAGAGGCCACCCGAUUUAAUUUGCAACCAUCUCUGACUGACUCCACCUAUUUUGCUAAUUAGAAAAUCACCUGCCUAAAAGGACUCUCUCCCUGGAGUCCACCCAGUUCCUGUCAGUCCGCUUGGCUUCUCCUUCCUCCCACAACCCUCUCUACUCACCCACACUCAAGGCAGAUUCUGAUAAGAUCAUGGAGUCUGGGCUGGGAAGACAGCCAACCUCACAAGCAACCUCACAAGCAACAGGACCAGCGUGGUGAAAGGAACUCUCAGUUCCAGAGCUGGGGAGGUAACCAGCUCCCUGGGAUGUGCCUGUUCCAGACCAAUGAGAGAGACCCUGUCUCCAAAGGAAGGUUCACUGUCCCCAAGGAACAGCAGCUGAGACUGUCUUCUGGCUGGCACACAUAUGUGUACACACUUGCACAUGUGUGCUCACACCACUGCAGACAAAGAUCGUGGAGUGGCCAGAUGGGAGAGUCCCCAAAUCUGAGCUAGAUUUGUUGUACCAUCUUGCAGAAACACUUUGGCCUCUUGGGAGCUUAUUCCCUACCCCAGUCAGCAGGGCACGGAACAGGGUGGGGACCUCGGUGCAGGAUUCACUUCUUAGGACAGGUGUUCUGGGCUCCUCCCAUCCUCACUUGUCUGCUGCUUACCGGGCCCUGCUCCAGGCACUUUGGAUAUACUGGCUACACCAACACCAAGGGCUUGUGUUCUUUCUCUGAGGAUCAACAGUCCAGGUCAUCUGGUGCGCUGAUAGCCGAAAAAGCUUCCCCUAGUUCCCCAUCGCAAGUUCUCCAUCCACCAAAGACUGCCAAGUACAUGAAAUCCAUGUCCAAGUCUGCUACCUUGAGGAUCAAGAUUUGAACACUGGAUGGCCUAGUGCUUGGGUGGCUUGUCCUACAGUGUGAGCUGACCAGUACCAAAGACGUGUUUUCCUAUCACAGCAGAAAAGGCAGAAAGAGACUGACAGAGAAGGACUGGAGGGAAGCAGAGCAAAGCCCAUAAGGCAACUCCUUCGCAAGAUGGCCCCACGUUGAGACAACUGGCUGUGAUCUUUGAGACAACGACCAGGCUCCCUUCUGUGGCCUUGACUUUGUGUCUGUGCAAUGGACUACCUGGAGGAAUUCUCUGGGGAUGACGGCCACAACCCCAGGAAUGAAGGGAGGAGUGUUUACUCCUUUGGUGCCCAGCCCAUGGCGGUGCUGGGAAGUCAAGAGUCUCUGGAAGGAAGGCUUCUCCUGACACAUGCAUGUGGAAGAAGGCUGCCUUUCAACACAACCUGGAAAGAGUCUAGAGUGGGGGAUUAUCUAGGUCAAGUUGCCCUGUGGGUACGUGGAUGAGGGUCUUAAUUGAUAACUGAACCACCCACUGUGGGGGUGUCAUUCUGCAGGCUGGGUCCUGAACUCACCAAGUAAUGAGAGACAGCAAGCCAGCAAGGAUCCAUGGUGCAUCCUCUCUGCUCCUGUCUGUGAGUGUGACCAGCUGCUGAAUGUUCCUGCCUUGACUUCUCCACAACCAUGGACUGUAACCUGGAGUUGUGAGCUAAAUCAGCCUUUCCUGCUCUAGCAGGUCAGGAUAUUUUACCAUCUCAACAGAAAUGAAAUCAGAGCAGCCAUAUUCUUGGCUAUCUUCCACUGCAUGUGUCCUGCAUGUGACAGGAUAGAUACACCUGCGAGGGUGCCCAGGAAGGAGACCUGGUGUCAGAGUUAGAGUUUCUGUUGUGAAG